rnacentral:rRNA from 1 species
CAGCAGCCACGGUAAUACGUAGGGUGCAAGCGUUAAUCGGAAUUACUGGGCGUAAAGCAUGCGUAGGUGGUGGUUUAAGUCCGUUGUGAAAGCCCUGGGCUCAACCUGGGAAUUGCAGUGGAUACUGGAUCACUAGAGUGUGGUAGAGGAUAGUGGAAUUUCCGGUGUAGCAGUGAAAUGCGUAGAGAUCGGAAGGAACAUCUGUGGCGAAGGCGACUAUCUGGGCCAACACUGACACUGAGACACGAAAGCGUGGGGAGCAAACAGGAUUAGAUACCCGCGUAGUCCCUGUCUCUUAUAC